CUGCUCACUGAUGGCGACCGGCGCACGGGUGCGUAACGCGUAUGCAACUUGCCUUACAGAGGGGGAUAACCCGUUGAAAGACGGACUAAUACCGCGUAUGCUCACAGGGAGGCAUCUCCUGGUGAGGAAAGAAUUUUGCUGUAAGAUAGGCAUGCGUCCCAUUAGCUAGUAGGUGAGGUAACGGCUCACCUAGGCGACGAUGGGUAGGGGAACUGAGAGGUUGAACCCCCACACUGGUACUGAGACACGGACCAGACUCCUACGGGAGGCAGCAGUGAGGAAUAUUGGUCAAUGGGCGAGAGCCUGAACCAGCCAAGUCGCGUGAAGGAUGAAUGUCAUAUAGAUUGUAAACUUCUUUUAUAGGGGUAUAAUGAUUGGCACGUGUGCCGAGUUGAAUGUACCCUAUGAAUAAGCAUCGGCUAACUCCGUGCCAGCAGCCGCGGUAAUACGGAGGAUGCGAGCGUUAUCCGGAUUUAUUGGGUUUAAAGGGUGCGUAGGCGGUCUGUUAAGUCAGCGGUGAAAUUUUUGGGCUCAACCCAGACAUUGCAGUUGAAACUGGCGGACUUGAGUGUAGAUGAGGUAGGCGGAA
rnacentral:rRNA from 1 species